GUUUUUAUUAUUAUUAUUAUAGAAAAAAAAUAUCCUUUCUCCUUCUUCUUCGUCAUGUGCCCCCUCCCUCAAAUUUCUCCUCCCGCCGUCAAGCCCUAAGUAACUCAGCCGUUUGUCCGUCAUUUUCCGCCGCACCCUACAAGACUAGUUGAGCCGACUGUUCGCCGUUCGUGGGUUUUAGACCGACCAGAUCCCGCCGCCAACCAAACCACGUUCGCCCUUGGCCCAGCCAAGCUGCGUUCACUCGUGACUAACUGCCACCAUCCCUCCUUGCGUCUCAGCCGGGCCACCCAACGUUCCCUCACCGUCUGUCUCCCUCUCCCUCGCGAAACCAAUUGAAGUUCGUUCGCCACCAUAGAUCUCCUCCUCUGCACACCCCUCUGCGCGUGGACCUCACAAAAUUCGUCGUUGUCAUACACGCCCUCUGUUCGCCGUUCGCCGCCACCGCCGUCAUUGGGUUUCGUAGGAUCUGGUAGUUUUGGAUCCAAAAUUGGAGUACUUCAGAGUCCGCAACGUGUUGCCCAGCGGAUACGAGUUCGUUCGACAAGUAGUUUGGUAAAGGUAGAGAUGCACCGGUGAUUGACAAGCGGAAUCCGUGAUCGAGCCAUUGGGG